GGAUUAGAUACCCUGGUAGUCCACGCCGUAAACUAUGAUUACUCGUUUUCGGCGAUAUACAGUCGGAGACUAAGCGAAAGUGAUAAGUAAUCCACCUGGGGAGUACGAUCGCAAGGUUGAAACUCAAAGGAAUUGACGGGGGCCCGCACAAGCGGUGGAGCAUGUGGUUUAAUUCGAUGAUACGCGAGGAACCUUACCAGGGCUUAAAUGCAGAACGACAGAUUUGGAAACAGAUCCUUCUUCGGACGGUCUGCAAGGUGCUGCAUGGCUGUCGUCAGCUCGUGCCG
rnacentral:rRNA from 1 species